rnacentral:rRNA from 1 species
UGGCUCAGAUUGAACGCUGGCGGCAGGCCUAACACAUGCAAGUCGAACGGUAGCACAGAGGAGCUUGCUCCUUGGGUGACGAGUGGCGGACGGGUGAGUAAUGUCUGGGAAACUGCCCGAUGGAGGGGGAUAACUACUGGAAACGGUAGCUAAUACCGCAUAACGUCGCAAGACCAAAGAGGGGGACCUUCGGGCCUCUUGCCAUCGGAUGUGCCCAGAUGGGAUUAGCUAGUAGGUGGGGUAACGGCUCACCUAGGCGACGAUCCCUAGCUGGUCUGAGAGGAUGACCAGCCACACUGGAACUGAGACACGGUCCAGACUCCUACGGGAGGCAGCAGUGGGGAAUAUUGCACAAUGGGCGCAAGCCUGAUGCAGCCAUGCCGCGUGUAUGAAGAAGGCCUUCGGGUUGUAAAG